GCGUAUUAUGCGCUCGAUUUUUCUACUAGAGGACACACACUUUGGACAGUCACAGUCGAUACCGACUUAAAUUUUUCAUGUAAGCUGUCGCCCGUCUUUCGACUUAUCGGCGACAAGUUCG
rnacentral:ncRNA from 1 species